rnacentral:rRNA from 1 species
ACUGUUUUAGAGGAGAUGCAUUUAUUAGAUAAAAAGCCAAUACAUGCUUUUAAAGUAUAAAAUUUGGUGAUUUACAAUAACUUAGCAAAUCGCAUAGUGAAAACUGGCGAUAAAUCAUUCAAGUUUCUGACCUAUCAGCUUUCGACGGUAUGGUAUUGGCUUACCGUGGCAGUGACGGUUAACGGGGGAUUAGGGUUCGAUUCCGGAGAGGGAGCCUGAGAAACGGCUACCACAUCUAAGGAAGGCAGCAGGCGCGCAAAUUACCCAAUUCUAACAGCAUGAGAGAGGUAGUGACAAGAAAUAACAAUACAAGGCAGUUAAAAUGCUUUGUAAUUGGAAUGAUAGAAAUUUAAACACUUUUUAAAGUAUCAAUUGGAGGGCAAGUCUGGUGCCAGCAGCCGCGGUAAUUCCAGCUUCAAUAGCGUAUAUUAAAAUUGUUGCAGUUAAAAAGCUCGUAGUUGAAUUUCUGUUAAAAAUAACCGGUCUGCUUUUUUAAUAAAAGCGGUAUCUUGGUGUGUUUUUAGCAAUAAUGUCCUUUGAAAUGUUUUUUACUUUAUUGUAAUAGAUUAUAUUCAGGAUUUUUACUUUGAGAAAAUUAGAGUGUUUCUAGCAGGCUAACGCUUUGAAUA